GAGUUUGAUCAUGGCUCAGAACGUACGCUGGCGGCACGCCUAACACAUGCAAGUCGAACGAAGUAGCAAUACUUAGUGGCAGACGGGUGAGUAACAUGUAGGUAUCUGCCCUUUGGCCUGGAAUAACACGAGGAAACUUGUGCUAAUACCGGAUAAGUCUUUACGGAGAAAGCUUUAUGCACCAUUGGAUGAGCCUGCACUUGAUUAGUUUGUUGGUGGGGUAAUGGCCUACCAAGACUGUGAUCAAUAGCUGAUUUGAGAGGAUGAUCAGCCACAUUGGGACUGAGACACGGCCCAAACUCCUACGGGAGGCAGCAGUGGGGAAUCUUGCACAAUGGAGGAAACUCUGAUGCAGCGAUGCCGCGUGAGUGAAGAAGGCCCUUGGGUUGUAAAGCUCUUUCGUCGGGGAAGAAAAUGACUGUACCCGAAUAAGAAGGUCCGGCUAACUUCGUGCCAGCAGCCGCGGUAAUACGAAGGGACCUAGCGUAGUUCGGAAUUACUGGGCUUAAAGAGUUCGUAGGUGGUUGAAAAAGUUAGUGGUGAAAUCCCAGAGCUUAACUCUGGAACUGCCAUUAAAACUUUUCAGCUAGAGUGUGAUAGAGGAAAGCAGAAUUUCUAGUGUAGAGGUGAAAUUCGUAGAUAUUAGAAAGAAUACCAAUUGCGAAGGCAGCUUUCUGGAUCAUUACUGACACUGAGGAACGAAAGCAUGGGUAGCGAAGAGGAUUAGAUACCCUCGUAGUCCAUGCCGUAAACGAUGUGUGUUAGACGUUGGAAAUUUAUUUUCAGUGUCGCAGCGAAAGCGAUAAACACACCGCCUGGGG
rnacentral:rRNA from 1 species